rnacentral:rRNA from 1 species
AACGAACGCUGGCGGCAGGCCUAACACAUGCAAGUCGAGCGGGGGAGCAAUCCCUAGCGGCGGACGGGUGAGUAACGCGUGGGAACGUGCCCUUUGGUACCGAAUAGCCCUGGGAAACUGGGAGUAAUACCGUAUGAGCUCUACGGAGGAAAGAUUUAUCGCCAAAGGAUCGGCCCGCGUUGGAUUAGGUAGUUGGUGGGGUAAUGGCCUACCAAGCCGACGAUCCAUAGCUGGUUUGAGAGGAUGAUCAGCCACACUGGGCCUGAGACACGGCCCAGACUCCUACGGGAGGCAGCAGUGGGGAAUCUUAGACAAUGGGCGCAAGCCUGCUCUAGCCAUGCCGCGUGAGCGAUGAAGGCCUUAGGGUUGUAAAGCUCUUUCGUGGGGGAAGAUAAUGACUGUACCCCAAGAAGAAGCCCCGGCUAACUCCGUGCCAGCCGCCGCGGUAAUAC